rnacentral:misc_RNA from 1 species
GACGCCACCAUAGGCGGCAGUUGGUAUCUAUAGUAAAACCCUUGUUGGUUAUCGUUGAUCGGGAAAUGGACCCUAACGACCUAGCGAAGGCAUUUGUGGAGCACUACUACUCCACCUUCGAUAGCAACAGGGCUGGGCUUGGAAAUCUGUAUCAAGAAGGUUCCAUGUUGACAUUUGAAGGCAUUAAAACUCAAGGUUCACAAAAUAUUGUCGCUAAACUUACUAGCCUUCCCUUUCAGCAGUGUCAUCAUACCAUCACUACCAUUGAUUGUCAGCAUUCUGGUCCUGCUGGUGGCAUGAUUGUUGUCGUCUCCGGUAAUCUCCAGCUAGCCGGCGAACAGCAUGCUCUUAAGUUUGGCCAGAUGUUUCAUCUGAUGCCAACGCCACAAGGAAGCUUCUACGUCUUCAAUGACAUUUUCCGGUUGAAUUAUGGCUGAUAUGCACGAGACGAGUGCAACUCAUGUUAAUUUGUUCUGUCUUAUUCAAGUUUGAGACUUUUGGAUGAAAUUCAAGUUUCUUGAAAUGGUGCUAUUGUGCCUCUCCUAUAUAUACUUGUUUUAGAAAAUGCCAUGGUUUAAUGUUUUAGAGUUGCUCAAGUUUCUGGUCUGUUGAUGUUUUACUCAUUGGAGAAUUGACUUUUU